rnacentral:rRNA from 1 species
GGAGCAUUCUUAAAGGGACGAAGCAGUACCGUAAGGAGCUGUGGACUUUUAAGAAGAGAGAAUGCCGGAAUGAGUAGCGAGAGGAAGGUGGGAAUCCUUCCGGCCGAAUAUCUAAGGUUUCCAGAGUAAAGCUGAUCUGCUCUGGGUAAGUCGGGGCCUAAGGCGAGGUCGAAAGACGUAGUCGAUGGAUAACAGGUUGAAAUUCCUGUACUAUCCUGUAACAGAACUGUGGGGACACAGGCAGAGAGCGUGAGCCGGGAAUGGAAAGACCGGUACAAGCGAGGUAGGAGAAGAGUUGGCAAAUCCGCUCUUCAAUCUGAAGACGUGAUGUGGACUGAAAAUAAGUAGGGAAGCACGUGAGCUGACUGUCAAGAAAAGCCGCUAUUGUUUGCAGGAUACCCGUACCGUAAACCGACACAGGUGGAUGAGGAGAGAAUCCUAAGGCCGACGGGAGAAGCAUUGUUAAGGAACUCGGCAAAAUGACUCCGUAACUUCGGGAGAAGGAGUGCCAGUAAGAUGGCCGCAGAGAAUUGGCCCAAGCAACUGUUUAGCAAAAACACAGGUCUAUGCAAAACCGAAAGGUGAGGUAUAUGGGCUGACGCCUGCCCGGUGCUGGAAGGUUAAGGGGAGAGGUUAGCGCAAGCGAAGCUUUGAACUUAAGCCCCAGUAAACGGCGGCCGUAACAAUAACGGUCCUAAGGUAGCGAAAUUCCUUGUCGGGUAAGUUCCGACCCGCACGAAAGGCGUAAUGAUUUGGGCACUGUCUCAACAAUGCACCCGGUGAAAUUGAAAUACCAGUGAAGAUGCUGGUUACCUGCGCCAGGACGGAAAGACCCCAUGGAGCUUUACUCCAGCUUGAUACUGGGAUUCGGUAUUGCAUGUACAGGAUAGGUGGGAGGCUAGGAAAUGGUAACGCCAGUUGCCAUGGAGCCAAUGUUGGGAUACCACCCUUGCAGUACUGGGUUUCUAACCAGCAGCCGUGAUCCGGCUGGGGGACAAUGUCAGGUGGGGAGUUUGACUGGGGCGGUCGCCUCCGAAAGGGUAUCGGAGGCGCUCAAAGGUUCCCUCAGAAUGGUUGGAAACCAUUCGAAGAGUGCAAAGGCAGAAGGGAGCUUGACUGCGACACCGACGGGUGGAGCAGGUACGAAAGUAGGACUUAGUGAUCCGGUGGUAUAAAGUGGGAUUGCCAUCGCUCAACGGAUAAAAGCUACCCUGAGAUAACAGGCUUAUCACUCCCAAGAGUUCACAUCGACGGAGUGGUUUGGCACCUCGAUGUCGGCUCAUCGCAUCCUGGGGCUGAAGUAGGUCCCAAGGGUUGGGCUGUUCGCCCAUUAAAGCGGUACGCGAGCUGGGUUCAGAACGUCGUGAGACAGUUCGGUCCCUAUCCGGCGUGGGCGUAAGAUAUUUGAGAGGAGCUGUCCUUAGUACGAGAGGACCGGGAUGGACUGGCCGCUGGUGUAUCUGUUGUCUUACCAAAGGCAUAGCAGAGUAGCCAAGCCGGGAAGGGAUAAACGCUGAAGGCAUCUAAGCGUGAAGCCCCCCUCAAGAUGAGAUAUCUCAUAACGUCAAGUUAGUAAGACCCCUUGAAGACGACGAGGUAGAUAGGGCAGAGGUGAAAGUGUGGUAACACAUGGAGCUGACUGUUACUAAUAGGUCGAGGGCAUAACCG